AGAGUUUGAUCCUGGCUCAGGAUGAACGCUGGCGGCGUGCCUAACACAUGCAAGUCGAGCCAUUCUCUUCGGAGAAGAGCGGCGGACGGGUGAGUAACGCGUGGGUAACCUGCCCUAUACACACGGAUAACAUACCGAAAGGUAUGCUAAUACGAGAUAACAUAAGAGAUUCGCAUGGAUUUCUUAUCAAAGCUUUUGCGGUAUAGGAUGGACCCGCGUCUGAUUAGCUAGUUGGUGAGGUAACAGCUUACCAAGGCGACGAUCAGUAGCCGACCUGAGAGGGUGAUCGGCCACAUUGGAACUGAGACACGGUCCAAACUCCUACGGGAGGCAGCAGUGGGGAAUAUUGCACAAUGGGCGAAAGCCUGAUGCAGCAACGCCGCGUGAGCGAUGAAGGCCUUCGGGUCGUAAAGCUCUGUCCUCAAGGAAGAUAAUGACGGUACUUGAGGAGGAAGCCCCGGCUAACUACGUGCCAGCAGCCGCGGUAAUACGUAGGGGGCUAGCGUUAUCCGGAAUUACUGGGCGUAAAGGGUGCGUAGGUGGUUUCUUAAGUCAGAGGUGAAAGGCUACGGCUCAACCGUAGUAAGCCUUUGAAACUGAGAAACUUGAGUGCAGGAGAGGAGAGUAGAAUUCCUAGUGUAGCGGUGAAAUGCGUAGAUAUUAGGAGGAAUACCAGUUGCGAAGGCGGCUCUCUGGACUGUAGCUGACACUGAGGCACGAAAGCGUGGGGAGCAAACAGGAUUAGAUACCCUGGUAGUCCACGCCGUAAACGAUGAGUACUAGCUGUCGGAGGUUACCCCCUUCGGUGGCGCAGCUAACGCAUUAAGUACUCCGCCUGGGGAAGUACGCUCGCAAAGAGUGAAACUCAAAGGAAUUGACGGGGACCCGCACAAGUAGCGGAGCAUGUGGUUUAAUUCGAAGCAACGCGAAGAACCUUACCUAAGCUUGACAUCCUUCUGACCUCUCCCUAAUCGGAGAUUUCCCUUCGGGGACAGAAGUGACAGGUGGUGCAUGGUUGUCGUCAGCUCGUGUCGUGAGAUGUUGGGUUAAGUCCCGCAACGAGCGCAACCCUUGCCUUUAGUUGCCAGCAUUAAGUUGGGCACUCUAGAGGGACUGCCAGGGAUAACCUGGAGGAAGGUGGGGAUGACGUCAAAUCAUCAUGCCCCUUAUGCUUAGGGCUACACACGUGCUACAAUGGGUGGUACAGAGGGCAGCCAAGUCGUGAGGCGGAGCUAAUCCCUUAAAGCCAUUCUCAGUUCGGAUUGUAGGCUGAAACUCGCCUACAUGAAGCUGGAGUUACUAGUAAUCGCAGAUCAGAAUGCUGCGGUGAAUGCGUUCCCGGGUCUUGCACACACCGCCCGUCA
rnacentral:rRNA from 1 species